GACGAACGCUGGCGGCGUGCUUAACACAUGCAAGUCGAACGGACAGACCCUGCUUUUGUGCCGUGCUCGUUUGGCGCACGGGUGUGUAAAACGCGAGUAACAUGCCCCUGAAUUUGGGAUAACUUCUCGGGAAUGCGGAUCAUACCCGAUAGAAUCUCCUGCUGCACAUGGUUGGAUAGAGAAAUUCGGCGGUUGGGGAUGGAAUAGCGGCUUAUCAGCUUGUUUGUGGGGUAGUGGCUUACCAGGGCUUUGACGGGUAGCCGGCCUGAGAGGGCGACCGGCCACAUGGGGACUGAGAUACGGCGCAGACUCCUACGGGAGGCAGCAGUGGGGAAUAUUGCACAAUGGGCGGAAGCCUGAUGCAGCAACGCCGCGUGCGGGAUGACGGCCUUCGGGUUGUAAACCGCUUUCGCCUGUGACGAAGCGUGAGUGACGGUAAUGGGUAAAGAAGCACCGGCUAACUACGUG
rnacentral:rRNA from 1 species